rnacentral:lncRNA from 1 species
GGCUGAACAGGGGACAGACUGGGGGGAGGCUCGGUGGCUCGGCUUCGACGAAGGGCGGCGACGUGGCCGGAUAUCCGGCGGCAAGUGGAGGCGGCACUGGAGCAAGGGAUGGCCGGUGGCAAAGUUCGGCCGGCAAGAAAUCAAGAAGAGAUCAGAAAAACAGGGGAUCGCUACUUUUUCUUUUGUUUUCUGGUCAUUGGUCAGUUACCGACGGCCAAAACCCUCAGAGAAGAGGGAUAGAGAGAUGAAGUCCUAUCCUACAGGUGAGAUGCCGUAGACGGCGGUGCCAGUGG